rnacentral:rRNA from 1 species
GUCCACGCUGUAAACGAUGAUCACUAGAUGUCGGUCUUGCGUUGCAAGAUCGGUAUUGGAGCUAACGCGUUAAGUGAUCCGCCUGGGGAGUACGGUCGCAAGAUUAAAACUCAAAGAAAUUGACGGGGGUCCGCACAAGCGGUGGAACAUGUGGUUUAAUUCGACACUACGCGAGGAACCUUACCUAGGCUUGACAUUCUUUUGACAGUUGUGGAAACACAAUCUUCCAAGUUUACUUGGACAAUUGAACAGGUGCUGCAUGGCUGUCGU